rnacentral:lncRNA from 1 species
GUGAGUUAAAUAAGCUUUCCUCCUUUAACUUUGGGCAUUGGGUAUUUUGUCUCAGCAACAAGAAAAGUAACUAAGACAUCCCUCUACAUUUUCUCCAUGUGGCUUAAAAAGAUAUCUACUGUGGUGAUUUAACUGGGUUAUUGGGAAGACCAGUGUAUUGGUCACUUUUUCCGUAGCUGGGACAAAUCUGAUACCUACAAAGUAAGGAAAGAGAGGUUUCUUUGGCUCAUGGUUUAAGAGGAUUCAGUCCAUGGUUGAGUGGCUCCAAGGCAGAUACAAGUGAUGGAAGGGGAUGGAGGAGGAAAGCUGUUCACCCUGUAGUAAUCAGGAAAGGAAAAAGAUGGGAGGAACCAGUGAUAAGAAUAUAAGGUCACAUCCCAGUAACCCAUCUCUUCCCCUUAGCCCCCAUCUGCUAACUGCUCAUUCAGCCAUGAGUCAUGGAUGGCUUAAGUCACUGAUGAACAUAGUUCCCUUGUGAUCCAGUCACCUUCCAGAAGACCCACCUCUGAACAUGUGAGACUUCUGGGAUGGCGCAUUUUAGAUCUAAACUGUAACAACCCUGUAACAACCAGCUGUAUCUGUGAAGUGCUAUGAGACUAUGAAGGGCACAGAGAGAAGAGAACAAUACUUACACAAGUGUUCAUGAAGUAAAAUGAAGUAACACUGCACUCUACAAAGAGAAUUUCAGAAUAAAAAGCAUUAAGGAUGAAUGACUCCAUGUAGCUGGGGACGCUGUAAGGACACUAGGUGUGAGACUGGGCCUUUGUCCAGAGUUGACGGUGGGAAGACUCCAGCACAGACUCAGGAGGAGCAUCCCGAGAGAGAGGCAGUGACCACGGAAGAGCUUCUAUGUAUUUCUCUCUUUGUGGAAGUGAACCCACAAAGGAAAGAAUCCUUUUGUAUAGCCAGGGCCUAACAUUAUCAUUAUGUAGUUGAAAAGUUCUUGAAUGAAUAAGAUAAAUGAAUAAAUGAAUGAAUAAAUGAAUCUCCAGACCAAACCUAGAGAUUUUAUGAGCAGAAUCAAAAGCGUAAUUGUUGAGGACCUUUUGUUGGAAACAUCAGUGCUAUUUUGCUAAGCUCUGAAAUGCUUAAACUAUUAUGUAAUAAAAAUGAUCCUUCUCAAAAAUGGUGAUGUUUUGGAAAAAAGUGAAGUGUGUAUUCCUUGCUGGUGGUGUUAUCAAUUGAUAAAUCCUUUCAAAGCUAUGGCUCUCUAUAGGAAAACCACAGAGAUUCAUGUCCAUUGCCUUAGAAAUCUUCUCUUUUGCAAACACUUGAACACUCUAGAAGAAGCUAAACAUAAACAUUUUCAUUAUACUCUUUUUUUUUUUUGGUACUGGGUAUCAAACUUGGUACACUGCGCUUGUGAGGCAGGCGACGACGGCACCACUGAGCUAAAUCCUCGGCCCAUAUUACAAUCAAUUUUGACAAGAAAAAGUUAGAGAUA